AUUGACACACCCAUUUAUACCAUCUCACACAACUCUAACAAUGAAUUAUAUACAUCUAAAAGGUUUGAAUCACUUACAUCUUCCUCAUAUCUAUCAAAAACCUCUAUGAACCCUUACCGACAACUACCACACUUUUCGAACCGCCACACAAAUUACCUUAGCCACCUAUUGAACCCAAAAAAUCUACUCCAAAAACAUCAUCCAAAUAAACCCACAUAACAACCAAACCUACUUUCAAACCACCAAAAUAUGUUUCCAAAACACCUUCAAAAUCCUCAUCCCCUAUACCAAAACACUCAAACAAAGGAAAGUCUAAAAAACAAAAACGUUAUGCAUCGAAAACCAAACCCUUAAAAACGUUCUCCAUCACAAACAACACUUCCAGAAUGUUCUCUAUUAAAGUAAAAUCUCAAGAACGAUCUUCAUCCAAACCCAAAUCCUAAAAUAAAAAAAACCACUACCUCCAAAAUUUUCAUUUCACCUCUUAUCUCCUCUAAUCAUGAAAAAACUUACUAACACAAUUGAAAUGAGAGACUUGUCGGCAUUGGGAAACUUUUGUCUUUAAAAAUCUCAAACUUGAAGGAAUUCCAAUCAAACAGUUCACACAUGCUUUAGGUUGAUCCAAUUUUUUUGAAUCUCUUAUAAAUACUAUUGAAAAGUCAUUUGUGUCAUCUUCUACAAAGCCCAAUUUUCCUGACAAAGUUGUGGUUGUAACCAAACUCAAAGGGGUAGAAAUUCGUCUUACCUCUGACAUUCUUGCCAAAAUUUUGGAUCUUCUAACUAUAGGAUCUUACCAAAAGAUGAGGUACUCAAUAAACUCUUCAUUCAAGGGUCUACAAAUUUUGUGUCUACAUAUUUGAAACUUUUCCCAAAAAUAUUUAAUAGUAUUAGCCAAUAUUUUGUUUUCACUUAUUGUGGCAAUCAUGAGUUUGUCUUUGACAAUGAUGCCCUUAUCACCUAUCACCUUCUCCACGGCCACAAAUUAAACAUGCCCUAUAUCAUCAUUCAAAAUAUGAUAGCCCCCAUCGCACAUAUCUACAGACGAGUCAUUGUUCCCUAUGGCAUGGUCCUUACCAAAAUCAUCAAAAUACUUCAAAGUCCCUUUUAAGGACGACGAAUCCUUUUUCAAAAUCUAAAAUUUUACCUCAAAAAAUAUUUCACACAUGAAGAAAUAACCAUUUCUCCCACAAGCUUCAAAUGCACCUUCAUCUCCACCACCACAAGACACUCCUCCUCUAGCCACUCUUGGCCCAUCAAAAAAGAAACUAUCAAAGAGAAUAAAUGUGUUGCAACCCAAUGCACAAAACUUUCAUUUGGAAAAAAUUUUCAUAACAUUCUUGAUCCUGCUAUCCAUUAAUCUGCAUCACUUCCUUUUGAUCAGGAACAUUCCAGUAGUUUGGAACUCCCACUUUGAGCUCCCUACAAAAUCCUAUUUUACAAGGUCAAUCAUCUAGUCAAAUUAAUCCUAAAAGGGUUUCACAUAUGUCUCUCAUCUUCCUCUCUCCUCAAAGAACGCAAUUGGAGAAAAUUGCAGGGAAUCCUACAUAGCAUGAUCAGGUUUUGUAUAAAUUUUAUCUAUAGUAUAAAUUGUCAGUUCAUCAAUAUUCAUUGAUGAUUUAUUUCAUAGGCAAAACAUUCAGCAUAAUCAUUGUCCAGAACCACCAACAUGCAAAAACUACAUUUUAGUCGUUAAAAUUUGAUUGUACUGCAAAUUGGAAUUACAGUGAGAGUAGAGCUUUGGUUCAUGUUUAAUUAAGCUACUACUGUUAUCA